rnacentral:rRNA from 1 species
CCUACGGGUGGCUGCAGUCGAGAAUCAUUCACAAUGGGGGAAACCCUGAUGGUGCGACGCCGCGUGGGGGAAUGAAGGUCUUCGGAUUGUAAACCCCUGUCAUGUGGGAGCAAAUUAAAAAGAUAGUACCACAAGAGGAAGAGACGGCUAACCCUGUGCCAGCAGCCGCGGUAAUACAGAGGUCUCAAGCGUUGUUCGGAAUCACUGGGCGUAAAGCGUGCGUAGGCUGUUUCGUAAGUCGUGUGUGAAAGGCGCGGGCUCAACCCGCGGACGGCACAUGAUACUGCGAGACUAGAGUAAGGAAGUGGGAACCGGAAUUCUCGGUGUAGCAGUGAAAUGCGUAGAUAUCGAGAGGAACACUCGUGGCGAAGGCGGGUUCCUGGACAUUAACUGACGCUGAGGCACGAAGGCCAGGGGAGCGAAAGGGAUUAGAUACCCGAGUAGUC